rnacentral:rRNA from 1 species
UACGUAGGCGGCUUUUUAAGUCGGAUGUGAAAUCCCUGAGCUUAACUUAGGAAUUGCCUUCGAUACUGGGAAGCUAGAGUAUGGGAGAGGAUGGUAGAAUUCCGGGUGUAGCGGUGAAAUGCGUAGAGAUCUGGAGGAAUACCGAUGGCGAAGGCAGCCAUCUGGCCUAAUACUGACGCUGAGGCACGAAAGCGUGGGUAGCAAACAGGAUUAGAUACCCCUGUA